GUUGUUCUCUUUAUCUGGUUGUACAAAACUAAACAUUCUUAAAAAGACAACUCAGCUACAAGUCAACAACAAGAGCAACCCCCUCUCGCUGCCACUCCGACCCCAUAUGUUGGACAAACCCUUACAUCCGCGGCCACAUUUAUUUGCUUCAUCGACUUUUCCCCCACCCGAAACCCUCGCCUCCAUGCCAACAACCACGCCGCCGCUAGCGGCACCAUCCUUGUCCGGCGAGCUUCUCGAGGAGAUCUUCCUCCGCUUCCUGCCGAAUGAGCCCUCAUUCCUCGUGCGCGCCUCACUUGCAAGUAAGCUCUCGUUCGGCCUUCUCACCAGCCCUAACUUCCAGAGCCGCUAUCGAGAGUUCCAUGGAGCUCUCCCCAUGUUGGGAUUCUUUUGUAAUCAGAUCGACACCUCCGACUCGGAGGAGGAGGAGGAAGAACCUGUAUCACACUUUGUUCCCGCCACAACAUCCGACUCAUGCAUAUCCAAGGACGGCUGGAUCGAGUCGAAAUAUGAUGUAUGGGAUUGCCGACAUGGUCAUGUUCUAUUUGGGGAGAAGGGUCGGAGAUCCACGAAGUUCAUCAUUCGGAACCCCAUGACGUCCCGCUGGACGGAGGUGCACAUACCCAAAAGAUACAUGGUGGCCGACAACCGUGUAGCCGCUAUGCUUUGUGCUAUGACCGGAUGCGACCACCGCCAGUGUCACGAGGGCCCGUUUCGGUUGGUUUUUGCCUACUUGUAUGUGGGAGAGGGCGAGGACGAGGAUGAUUGUGUUGCAUACGCGGGUGUGUCCCUGCCAGAGAUGUGCAAUUGGAGCAAUCCGUGCUCUAAAUUUCUGAGCAAGCCAUGCUCUGAACCAUGGAGCAAGCGGUGGAGAGAUUCCUCUGGUCUUCAUGUUCCAUUUGAGGCACGCAUCGAAUCAACCCCCCCCCCCUAGUCCUCAUCGAAGACUCACCCUACUCCAUACUUUCAUAUUAUGUUGAUGUUUGCGUAGGAAUUCUCAAGUACAACUUGAGCUCUAAUUGCUUAUCACUGCUUGAUGGGCCGCUAGUGGAGGAUGUCUUUGUCGGUGCCACUAUACUCACGGCCAUGGAGGACGACAGUUUGGGACUUGCACACAUGGAUAGAUUAACCCUCUACCUGUGGUCAAGACAGAUGGGUUCCGACGGAGUUGCAUCAUGGACUCAACGAACAGUCAUCAACCUCAAAAACCUUCUCCCCGUUCGAAAUCCCGAGAGAAUACCUAGACUAAUUGGAUCUGUGGAGGGCUGUGAUACCCUUUUUGUGACUAUAGACCUUGGCAUCUAUGAGAUUAAUCUCAAGUCACUAAGGUGGAAGACCAUAUGGAAGACUGAAAGUUUACGUGCUUUGUUUCCAUACAUGAGUUUUUACAAUCCAAAAGAAAGGGAGGAUACUAAAUAAGGUUAAGGGCAGCCUGCCACUUUCAUCAACAGGAAAGAUGACCGGACCACUUGGGAGUUGGAGGUGACAUGGGUCAUGUGAUCAAUUCUCUUGGGGUAGCUAUUGUAGUGCUGCUUGUUUUCUCAUCGUCUUGUUGCUUGAUAAUUUCCCUAUCUUGUAAUGAACCUCUAGUUUCUUGUAGCAGCAUCAACCAUAGUUUGGUUAGUUUGUUAUUUUAAAAACUAUAUAGUUUGCUUAGUUUUUUA